rnacentral:lncRNA from 1 species
UUUUUCACUUACUAUAGUAAAAGCUUUUUAAAAAUACUAUUACAGACUAUUCAUAAGCAUAAUAUUUAAAGGCUUCAAAAAGUUCCAUCAUAUAUAUUUUUAGUCACUAUUUUUUAGCAUUUGGCUUUCCAUCUCACUUUUUUUCAAAACAAACAAAAAAAAAUGUAGGAAAUUUUGGGCUCUAAUUUCUAAAAUAAUCCAUUUUUUUUUUGAGUCACUUCACACGAAACAGAUUUAAUAUGAAAUACCAAUUUCAGUUAAAUGCAAAAAGGUGACAUCUCACUGGAUUCUAAUAUGUUCAGGUCCUUUCUGCAUGUGAAAUUCCUGUGGUGCACAAAAAUGGUCCAGUGAUUUUUUUUUCUGGGUAAUGAAUACAAACCUAGAGUAAUCCUUCCCUUCAGUGUAUUAACCCCAAAUCUCUCUUCUAAUAACUCUCUUUCCUUUCUCUUAAAAAAAAAAUCAUCUAAAUUACUUUCAAUCAUUAUCUGUCAGAAAGUUCACUGGCUUUUGGUUAUUUACAGGAAUCCUAUACAAUGAUGAGAGAAGAAUAUACAUAUUAUAUUCAAAUAUGCAGAUCAAUGUGUCUGUUUCUCUAAGAAAUUAAGGCUUUCCUGAUGUUUGCUUCUGGAACCUGAUUCUAAUGAAAUGUGCACACUGGGACUGGGGUAUGUGGAAUCCUAGGCAGAUGGUUACGAUUUGUGGGUUAAAAAUUUGUUGACCAACAGUUUGUAAAAAUGUUUCAACCAAAGCAAUUUCUACUGUUAUAAAAAUACAAUCUGAGAAUAAUGUAGUUUAAAAACAGAGCUAUAGAAUGUUUCUCUACAACCUCCCCUGCUUCUCUUUCUAUACUUUAUGCUCUACUUUUGUUGCCCUACCCCUCUUUAUCUCCAUAUUUUUUUUCUGAAAAAUGUUAUUACAAGCAGAAACAAAGAAUACUGGCCUAAAUAAAAGGCAAGUUGGAGUCCCUUCUGGCCCGCUUCCCCCCCACCUUCCAGAGGUACUACAGCGUGGUCCGGGGCCCUGAGCUGGGGGAAGCUAUUUUUCCCAGAGGGGGCCCUCUGUGACUGCCAUUUCUCAGUUGCCUGUGACCUACUAGCUCUGGAGCAAGGAAGGACAAGACACAAGAACUUUCUAUGUCACUUUUCAAGGGCUUCUGCCCACUUGAGGGGCUGAGGAAGAGGACAAAGGGACAAUUUCCUAUCUCACAGCCCUCCCUGUUCCUUCCUUUUCUCUGGAGGGAGGUCUUUAAUUGGCAGAGACUCUCUGUCCUCUAGCCCCUGGCACAGGAUCUCACACUUAGAGCUUGAGGAAGUGGUGUGGCUUGUAGGACGGCAGCCACUCCCCACAGCCAUUAUCCCAUCCAUCUGGCCAGGCUUCAAAGUUACAGUGAAGACAUUCAGUUUGGCCCUUCUGUGGAAUCACCAGGGUAGAAAAGACAUAGGAAUGAUCCAGUACAAAGUCUUCAUUUUAUAAAUGAGGUAACUGAGUCUUGAAAAAAUUAAGGCCCCUAUCCAAUGACAUGCAGCUCUUAGCCCAUGGCUGAUUCGAUACUAGUAAAUUUUCCAAAAUACUAUGCUGCAACAAAACAAUAGAUAAUUGGGAGUUCCCAUCAUGGCUCAGCAGAAAAGAACCUAACUAGUAUCCAUGAGGACAGAAGUUCGAUCCCUGGCCUCGCUUGGCGGGUUAAGAAUCCGGCACUGCUAUGAGCUGCGGGGUAGGUCACAGAUACAGCUCAGAUACAGGGUUGCUGUGGUCGUGGCAUAGGCCAGUGGCUACAGCUACGAUUUGACCUCUAGCCUGGGAAACUGCAUAUGGUGCAGGUUCAGCCCUAAAAAAGACAACAACAACAACAACAAAAAAUCCAAAACAAUGGAUAAUUAAGAGUUAGCUGAAAGUGUAUUUCCCCUGGGAAGGUAAAUCAUUUGACCAAAAAACAUAAGAUGAUUUUAGGCUUUAAAAAAUUUUUUUGAAACCACAAAUGCAACGGCAUGAAUGAGAUAGAGUAAGAGUGAGGACCUAAGUCUGAGUUGUGAUUCAUCUGCCCAUCCCAGUCAUGGUGAAGGGAUGGAAGAAGGGGAUCCUGAAUCCUGCCUAAUAUUGCAAUCACUGUGAAUACUGAAUUAGCAAUAAUCACACCUUGAAUAAACCUCAUUAGCUAUAGAACUGACACUGCACAAAGCUUAUUGUAAAUAUUUAAAUAAUCUUGAGAGUUCCUGUCAUGUCUCACUGGUAACAAACUCGACUAGGAUCCAUGGGGUUGCAGGUUCGAUCCCUGGCCUCGCUCAGUGGGUUAAGGAUCCAGCAUUGCAGGACCGAACCCGCAACCUCAUGGGUCCUAGUCGGAUUCACCAACCACUGCGCCACGACGGGAACUCCAAUAAAUAAAUAAUCUUGUCCUUUCCAAUUUUGUCCUGCAUACUUACAAGUAUUACGGGGAUAAGGCAUUUUUGUCAGGUUUUUAAAAACUUAGACAUACUCUCUCUUACCCCAGUAAAGAUAUACUUUCUUUCAAAACCAAACGAGACCUUCCUCAGAGUGACUUUUUCUCCAUUUUAUUUACAUAUAUAGUUGGAACUUUAAAAUGGCUUCUUAUCUUACUGAAGAAAGAGAAAAACAAGGAAAAUAUUAGGUUCUGCUUUUGAGGGGCACCCACGACACAAGUCAAUGAAAGUUUCAAAACAAAAAACCUCUGUCUUUCCCAGUUUGACUAAGCACCAAGAAUCAUGUUUUGUACAACCCAGUUCACCAUUAAACAUCUUUGGAAAAGGAGAAGAAGAGGAAGCAGAAUGUACUUGAGCUGUAAACAAAGAAGAGAAAAAAGAACUAAUGUGAUCAAAAACUAACCAAGUGUUGCACACUUGACUUACGGUCUUAUCCUAACAAACAAAAUAGAAAUUUUAUCUGUACUUAGCUAUCAAAGGGAAUGAAGGUCAAAGUUCACAUCUAGUUAAACGGCCAUGGGGAGAGAGAGAUUCAAACUUCUACCCUUCAGUUUUUCCUGUCUUCACUACCAUAUCUGCUCAGAUGACUGUAACACCUUCCUAAGAAAUCUCCUUGCUUCCACUGUUGCUCCCCUCAAGAGAGUCUCUACUCAGCAACCACCGCUUUUAUAAAAUAUAAACCAGCUUGUGUCACUGUCCCUUACUUGACUCAUUCUGGUGGCUUCUCUUUGGACUUAGAAUAAAAUGCAGUGUCUUUCCCAGGUCUGCAAAGACCUACCUGACCUGACAUUUAUCUCCAUCUCAAUUUCGCUUGCUCCCCUCCAGCCACACGACCUUCCUUCUGUUCCAAGAAGACCAAGCCUAAAUCCAGCUUUGGGUCUUUUAAUUCACCUUUUCACCUGCCUGCAAUGUUCCUUCCCCAGAUCAGGGCCCGCAGGCCAAAUUCAACACCCCAACCCCUGCCGGUUUCCGUAAAUUAAGUUUUACCGGUACACAGCCACAGUCUGUCGUUUGUUGUCUCUGGGUGCUUUCACACAACCGUGGCAGAGCGGAAUAGUUAGAACGGAGACCACAUGGCCCUCAAAGCCUAACAUUUUACUAUCUGCUACUUUUCAGGAAAAAAAAAAAAAAGAAAAAAAGAAAAAGGCCAACCCCUGCCCUAGAUUAUGGUCUGUUUGGUUCUAGUCACUCAGGAGUUUCCAUCUCAAAUAUCACUUCCAAAGAGAGGCUUUCCCUGACCACAAAUCAUAUCAUCUUGGAUCACGGUCCUUCUAACACUUAUUUACUCAUUUACUCCUUUACUUGUUUAUUACCUAAUUCCCUGCUAGACUGUGUGUUCCAGGAGAGUUACGACAUUCAAAAUCUUAUUUAUGUCUGCCAAUUAUUAACACAGAAUAAUCUCUUGAUAAAUAUUUUUAAUAAAUGAACACAAGAUGUAACGCUUGGUUUUUAUUAUUCCAAAACUCAAUAUAUUCCACUGUGUCAUAUUUUGUAACAACAAAAGAAUGUUCCGGCCAAAGGAGAGAACAAUAUAUAAUUAAGCAAAUUUUGCUCAAUUCUGCAGAUCUCUUUCAGAUUCAGUAGAGAUAGACAGCACACCGCCCUCAGGAAAACCAUAAAGUAAAGUCUAUGAAAUGUAGAGUACACAUUUGCAGAGUGCACGGCAACUUAAUUGGAAGCACCAUAUCACAGAUCUAUCUGUAACAACCAGACAAAAGCAUCUGGAAGGGUUCCAUGGGGAGAAGAGUUUGUUCUGGGUGAGCCCUAGAAAACACUUCAAAGCAAGCAGUUUGUCUUUUGAGCUCAGCAACUUUGUUUUUCUCCUUACAGCAAUCCCCUCCUUCCAUUAAGGCAACGGCCGUCCUCCUGCUGACUAAUCCUGGUAUAUCUAAGAUACCCAGUUCAAGGCCCACAAGCAAGACACUUGGCCCUGACACUCUUUUCCUUUUAAAGUUUACUUGUCUUGAGGGCCAUGCCUCAAGACCUUCACCUGCUGCUGAAAGCUGAUGGUAAUACAUUCGUCAUGUAAGUAAGUAAAGUGAGCUGAUGGCAAAUACGCUCAUGGACCGGCCCUCCCUGAGAGAGCCCCUGCUUUCACUUAGACAGUCAUUAAGGAAGAAGGUGUUUCCCGUCCUUUGGUAAGCCACCUACCUCCAGGGUGUCCCCGCAUGCCUAAGCACCAUCAAAACAAUUCUGGCUUGGGGUCAGAAUGGCUCUAACUAAUUGGGACCUCCGCAAUCAUUUUACAAGUCUGUAAAGUAAGGGUCAAGGAUUAGAAAAUCUCUAAGUCCCUUUAAUGACAAGAACCUAGUCUUCUAAGAUGACCGCCAGAGAUUUCAUGUCAGUGCAGAAGUGAAUGGAGUACGGACACCGAGGUCACAUGGAUGGGAGUUAGACCGGUGUGUGGUUUGUGGAAAAUUCCUUCAUCUUUCACAGUCUCAGUUGGCUGGGUAUACUGUGGAAAUAACAAUGCCCACCUCCUCUGUGGUUAUGAGAAUUGUGGUGUGCUAACUGCAUGGAAAGCACUUAGAACUGUACCUUGCUAUUAAAUGGAAACUAUUUUCAUUAUUUUUCUAAUGUGCCUUACUUUCAAUAAAUUUGUGGUAAUAUAAUAUUGACUAUUACAUUGGUUUAUUUUUAUGAAAUUAUUAUCUUAGGAGGUGAGACACACUAGCAAUAAAUUUCAAAGAGCUGGAAGAGCUGAGAAGAGUUGAUAAUGUGAGCCAAUACGGAUUAGGUCACGUA